rnacentral:rRNA from 1 species
GACGUAGGGUGCGAGCGUUGUCCGGAUUUAUUGGGCGUAAAGAGCUCGUAGGCGGCUCGUCGCGUCGACCGUGAAAACCCGCGGCUUAACUGCGGGCUUGCGGUUGAUACGGGCGGGCUAGAGUUCGGUAGGGGAGACUGGAAUUCCUGGUGUAGCGGUGAAAUGCGCAGAUAUCGGGAGGAACACCGGUGGCGAAGGCGGUUCUCUGGGCCUUACCUGACGCUGAGGAGCGAAAGCGUGGGGAGCGAACAGG